rnacentral:rRNA from 18 species
CAACUUUCAACAACGGAUCUCUUGGUUCUGGCAUCGAUGAAGAACGCAGCGAAAUGCGAUAAGUAGUGUGAAUUGCAGAAUUCAGUGAAUCAUCGAAUCUUUGAACGCACAUUGCGCCCCUUGGUAUUCCAUGGGGCAUGCCUGUUCGAGCGUCAUUUG